rnacentral:rRNA from 1 species
GAUGAACGCUGGCGGCGUGCCUAAUACAUGCAAGUCGAGCGAACGGACGAGAAGCUUGCUUCUCUGAUGUUAGCGGCGGACGGGUGAGUAACACGUGGAUAACCUACCUAUAAGACUGGGAUAACUUCGGGAAACCGUAGCUAAUACCGGAUAAUCUUUUGAACCGCAUGGUUCAAAAGUGAAAGACGGUCUUGCUGUCACUUAUAGAUGGAUCCGCGCUGCAUUAGCUAGUUGGUAAGGUAACGGCUUACCAAGGCAACGAUGCAUAGCCGACCUGAGAGGGUGAUCGGCCCCACUGGAACUGAGACACGGUCCAGACUCCUACGGGAGGCAGCAGUAGGGAAUCUUCUGCAAUGGGCGAAAGCCUGACGGAGCCACGCCGCGUGAGUGAUGAAGGUCUUCGGAUCGUAAAACUCUGUUAUUAGGGAAGAACAUAUGUGUAAGUAACUGUGCACAUCUUGACGGUACCUAAUCAGAAAGCCACGGCUAACUACGUG